rnacentral:rRNA from 1 species
UACGUAGGGGGCAAGCGUUGUCCGGAUUUAUUGGGCGUAAAGAGCGUGUAGGCGGCCAAGCAGGUCCGCUGUGAAAACUCGAGGCUCAACCUCGAGACGUCGGUGGAAACCGUUUGGCUAGAGUCCGGAAGAGGAGAGUGGAAUUCCCGGUGUAGCGGUGAAAUGCGCAGAUAUCAGGAGGAACACCGGUGGCGAAGGCGGGUCUCUGGGCCGAUAUUGACGCUGGAGGAGCGAAAGCGUGGGGAGCGAACAGG